CUGGCCUUUGUGGGCUGAGAGGCCUCUUCCUUCGGCCUCCCUGGACUGGUUCUCGGCUCCUCGAGGCUCCAGGAUGCUGGGGGCCCUGCCUUGUGGGUGAUGUGCUGAAACGCCUUCCUGGUCCACCAGCAAGAUGGCCUGCCCCCGGCAUCCCUGGGGACCAGGGUCCCUCUGACCCAGGAAGCAUGGCUCCACCCUACGACUGCCAGGCCAGGAGGCGGAGGGGGAGCACAGGCAGACCGUGAGAACCUCUGGAUUCCUCUCAACAGAGAGUCGUGAGAUCGUCCAGCCUUCGGAACAUUAUUCUCCCUUGUCUGCGCUCGAGAGAUCAGUUUGUGGAAUGGCGUGCUCUUUACCUGCUUGGACUCAAGGUUACCAUGUGGGACGACACAGCUCCAGAUGCCUGUAAGAUUCUUGGGGGCGAUGUGGCAGGACGAACAAAAAUUGAUCCUCCUUCCGAGAAUUUCUCGCCAGCGUGUUAACACCUGUGUAAAAAGUGUCUUGGGCCAAAAAAACACACAGAAUCAUCCAACAAGCAAUUGCUGCGUCCAGCCUCGUGAGGGGUCAGGGUGGGCCAGGGUGGAGGGUACAGAAUAAAUGCCAGGCGGGCUUGGGGGGGUGAGGCGAUCGGCCCUGGGCUGGCAGGUGGGUGAUUCCGGGGGAGGGGCAGAACUUUGGGGUAGACGGCCCCGAGGACCGCAAGGAACCUGCAUCCUGCCAUCACUCUCUCCUCCCUUCCUCCUGAGCCCGAUCCGCCCACUCAGCAGGCUCCAGGACACGUCCCUUGGGUGGGGUGCAGAAGACAAGCCCCCGUUCUCCCCCGGCUCCGCCCCAGAUCCCGGUCCCCCAGACCAGGCCUGCAGAAUGCCGGGAACCUCAGGGAAACAGCUACUUCUUGGUUGCGAUCUCACGGUUCGUGAGUUCGAGUUCCGAACGGGGCUCUGGGCAAACAGUGAGGAGGCUGCCUGGGAUUCUCUCUCCCCCUCUCUCUGCCCCUCCCCCGCUCACUCUCUCAAAAUAAAUAAAUCAACUUUAAAAUAAACAAGAAACUCACCACCCCA